rnacentral:rRNA from 1 species
UACAGAGGGGGCGAGCGGUAGUCGGAAUUACUGGGCGUAAAGCGCACGUAGGUGGCGACGUAAGUCGGGUGUGAAAGCCCCGGGCUCAACCUGGGAAUUGCAUUCGAGACUGCAUUGCUGGAGUACGGAAGAGGAGGGCGGAAUUCCCGGCGUAGCGGUGAAAUGCGUAGAUAUCGGGAGGAACAUAAGUGGCGAAGGCGGCCCUCUGGUCCAGUACUGACGCUCAAGUGCGAAAGCGUGGGGAGCAAACAGG